rnacentral:piRNA from 1 species
UGGUAAAACAAACAAAAAUGUACGCUCAGC